UACGUAGGGGGCAAGCGUUGUCCGGAUUUAUUGGGCGUAAAGAGCGCGUAGGCGGCCCGGAAAGUCGGAUGUGAAAACCCGGGGCUCAACCCCGGGCCUGCAUCCGAUACUCCCGGGCUGGAGGCAGGUAGGGGAGAUCGGAAUUCCUGGUGUAGCGGUGAAAUGCGCAGAUAUCAGGAGGAACACCGGUGGCGAAGGCGGAUCUCUGGGCCUGUCCUGACGCUGAGGCGCGAAAGCUAGGGGAGCGAACAGG
rnacentral:rRNA from 1 species